GACGAACGCUGGCGGCGUGCUUAACACAUGCAAGUCGAACGGUGAAGCUCCAGCUUGCUGGAGUGGAUCAGUGGCGAACGGGUGAGUAACACGUGAGCAACCUGCCCCUGACUCUGGAAUAAGCGCUGGAAACGGCGUCUAAUACUGGAUACGAGAAGGGUCCGCAUGGGCACUUUCUGGAAAGUUUUUCGGUUGGGGAUGGGCUCGCGGCCUAUCAGCUUGUUGGUGGGGUAAUGGCUCACCAAGGCGACGACGGGUAGCCGGCCUGAGAGGGCGACCGGCCACACUGGGACUGAGACACGGCCCAGACUCCUACGGGAGGCAGCAGUGGGGAAUAUUGCACAAUGGGCGAAAGCCUGAUGCAGCGACGCCGCGUGAGGGAUGACGGCCUUCGGGUUGUAAACCUCUUUCAGCAGGGAAGAAGCGAAAGUGACGGUACCUGCAGAAGAAGCACCGGCUAACUACGUG
rnacentral:rRNA from 1 species